UACGGGGGGAGCAAGCGUUGUUCGGAUUCACUGGGCGUAAAGGGCGCGUAGGCGGCCACCGCAAGUCGGUUGUGAAAUCUCCGGGCUUAACCCGGAAAGGUCAAUCGAUACUGCGGGGCUAGAGUGCAGAAGGGGCAACUGGAAUUCUCGGUGUAGCGGUGAAAUGCGUAGAUAUCGAGAGGAACACCGGCGGCGAAGGCGGGUUGCUGGGCUGACACUGACGCUGAAGCGCGAAAGCUAGGGGAGCGAACGGG
rnacentral:rRNA from 1 species